GAAGAUUUUGAUUGGUUUGUUUCAUGUCAUGUGGGUUGUAGUAUCGGUUCACGCUCCUGGUGGCGGUAGUGGGCGAAUUUUUUGCAAUCCGUAAAAAAAACCCCCCCAAAAAACGAAGAAGACGGCUUUCAGUGGCGGCAAGAUAGAUGAGUGGAACAGGUUAUGGAUACAGAAGACAAGCAGGUUAUGUUGAGAAGGGCAAGCAAGGCGAACACAGUGGAAUUUACUCGGAAGCAAUGCAUCCGGUAUUUUGCAGUGUCCACUGCAUGCAAGUCUAUUGUGCUGAAUGAAUGAUUGUACAUAAUUUGAUUCAUCAGAAAUAAAAUCAU